rnacentral:hammerhead_ribozyme from 1 species
GCACUGCUGAGGAGUUGCACGAUAGGACGAAACGGCCGUCCAGUGC